rnacentral:lncRNA from 1 species
UUCUUCUUAAGGAUGUGAGAGAAAGAGAGAAAGGUUCUCUCUUGUGCACGAAAAAAUUGAGAAGAAAGGGUUCUUCUCUUGAUCUCUAUUAUAGAGAUCAGAUGCAUGGAUCUAGAAAGAAAAGGAGAGGAUCUUCUUAUUCUUCAUCUUCAUCAUGUUCUUCUUAGAUUAGCCAAAGGAUGGUGUCUUCACGAGCUAGCACUCCCGAGAAGAUCGAUCAGCACAAGGGCUUCGUGUGGAUACCCGUAG